rnacentral:rRNA from 1 species
AUUGAACGCUGGCGGCAUGCUUUACACAUGCAAGUCGAACGGCAGCGCGGGCUUCGGCCUGGCGGCGAGUGGCGAACGGGUGAGUAAUACAUCGGAACGUGCCCAGUAGAGGGGGAUAGCUCGGCGAAAGCCGGAUUAAUACUGCAUACGACCUGCGGGUGAAAGCGGGGGAUCUUCGGAACUCGCGCUAUUGGAGCGGCCGAUGGCAGAUUAGCUAGUUGGUGGGGUAAAGGCCUACCAAGGCGACGAUCUGUAGCUGGUCUGAGAGGACGACCAGCCACACUGGGACUGAGACACGGCCCAGACUCCUACGGGAGGCAGCAGUGGGGAAUUUUGGACAAUGGGCGAAAGCCUGAUCCAGCAAUGCCGCGUGUGUGAUGAAGGCCUUCGGGUUGUAAAGCACUUUUGGCGGGAACGAAAAGGACUGUGCCAAUACCACGGUUCGAUGACGGUACCCGCAGAAUAAGCACCGGCUAACUACGUG